UACGGAGGGGGCAAGCGUUGUUCGGAAUUAUUGGGCGUAAAGGGCACGUAGGUGGACUAGUAAGUUAAAAGUGAAAUACCAAAGCUUAACUUUGGAGCUGCUUUUAAUACUGCUAGACUAGAGGUCGAAAGAGGAUAGCGGAAUUCCUAGUGUAGAGGUGAAAUUCGUAGAUAUUAGGAGGAACACCAGUGGCGAAGGCGGCUAUCUGGUUCGAUACUGACACUGAGGUGCGAAAGCG
rnacentral:rRNA from 1 species